rnacentral:rRNA from 1 species
AAUGAACGCUGGCGGCAGGCCUAACACAUGCAAGUCGAGCGAAGUCUUCGGACUUAGCGGCGGACGGGUGAGUAACGCGUGGGAACAUGCCCUUUGGUGCGGAAUAGCCCCGGGAAACUGGGAGUAAUACCGCAUGUGCCCUUCGGGGGAAGGAUUUAUCGCCAAAGGAUUGGCCCGCGUUGGAUUAGGUAGUUGGUGGGGUAAUGGCCUACCAAGCCGACGAUCCAUAGCUGGUUUGAGAGGAUGAUCAGCCACACUGGGACUGAGACACGGCCCAGACUCCUACGGGAGGCAGCAGUGGGGAAUCUUAGACAAUGGGCGCAAGCCUGAUCUAGCCAUGCCGCGUGAUCGAUGAAGGCCUUAGGGUUGUAAAGAUCUUUCAGUGGGGAAGAUAAUGACGGUACCCACAGAAGAAGCCCCGGCUAACUCCGUGCCAGCCGCCGCAGUAAGAC